AGGAGAAGUCGUAACAAGGUUUCCGUAGGUGAACCUGCGGAAGGAUCAUUGUCGAAAAUUGCCAAGCAGAGCGACCCGCGGACAUGUUGAAACAAAUCGUCGGGGGCACGGCGUCUAACGAGGCACGGUGCCCUCGACCGCCGGCCGAGCCCGCACCUUACGGCCUGCUCCAGGAGCGGCAACGGGGGUGCGGGGCAAGGCUUGGCACAAGAAUGAACCCCGGCGCGGAUCGCGCCAAGGAACGGUAACAUAGCGUGCGCUGCCUUGCCGCCGGAUGCCCGGCGAGCGAGGUGGCGACCUGUCGUAUCUGAACGACUCUCGGCAACGGAUAUCUCGGCUCUCGCAUCGAUGAAGAACGUAGCGAAAUGCGAUACUUGGUGUGAAUUGCAGAAUCCCGUGAACCAUCGAGUCUUUGAACGCAAGUUGCGCCCGAAGCCUCUAGGCUGAGGGCACGUCUGCCUGGGCGUCACGCAUAGCGUCGCCCGCGACCAAGCCACCGCGUCUCUGCAUGCUAGGUUGGGGCGGAGAGUGGCCUUCCGUGCGCCGUUGUGCGGCUGGCCUAAAAUCGGAGCUCGGCGACUGCGCCACGACGUCCGGUGGUCGACAAGGCGAAGGCCAAGGUUGCAUCGCGUCGCGCUCGGCACGUCGCCCGUGAAGCUCGCACGACCCCGCCGCGCCUUCCUUUCGGCACCAACGCAGCGACCC
rnacentral:rRNA from 1 species